rnacentral:rRNA from 1 species
GACGAACGCUGGCGGCGUGCUUAACACAUGCAAGUCGAGCGGUAAGGCCCUUUCGGGGGUACACGAGCGGCGAACGGGUGAGUAACACGUGGGUGACCUGCCCUCAGCUCUGGGAUAAGCCUGGGAAACUGGGUCUAAUACUGGAUAUGACUCCACGGUGCAUGUCGUGGGGUGGAAAGCUUUUGCGGCUGGAGAUGGGCCCGCGGCCUAUCAGCUUGUUGGUGGGGUGAUGGCCUACCAAGGCGACGACGGGUAGCCGGCCUGAGAGGGCGACCGGCCACACUGGGACUGAGACACGGCCCAGACUCCUACGGGAGGCAGCAGGUGGGGAAUCUUGCGCAAUGGGCGAAAGCCUGACGCAGCGACGCCGCGUGA